UGUUUCUCUGCCUCACCUCUGCCCAGCUGUAGCUCAGAAUCUUGCCCAAGAGUUGAUCUGCAGCCCUGUCUGCCUUGUAAUUACUGGAGGGGAAGAGGUGAUAUCUCUUGGCAGAGGUUGGUUUGGCCUUGCAACUGAAGCAGAGCACCAAAGUCUGAGACUUAUGCAACUGUUCUGAUACCUGACCUUUGAUAACCUAGGACACAGGGAGCUUAAGUCAUUUGGUCGUCAGUAACACUGGGAAUAAAUUGUAGCUCACAGACUUCCUAUGAAGCUCAGGUUAAUAAUGCUUGGAGAACUCAAACGGACAGGGCUUUCUACGUCUUCUACUGCUGUUGCCAAUCCGGGCAUUUCUGUGGGCCUCAACUCUUCAAAGGUGGGAACUGCAAAGUCCUUCUGUGUGAGAAGAUGUGCAUGCAGGCAGAAAGCUGUCACGCUAGCAAGCUUGAUUUGAAGGCAGGACCUGUAGCUCUUCCCUUUGCUGGCUGACACUGUGUCUGAAACAAAGCAGUCUACCUGAGCUGCCUGACCAGCAAAUAAUGUGGAAUGACUGAUAGAGGUGCUUCUUGCUUUUGUUAUUUAUUGCAGAGACCAAGUUUCCAUUGGGGGUAAAAAUGAAAAGAGAUUCUGUGUACGUCAUGAAUGUAAAAUGGUGUCGUGUUGAAACGGUAUUGCUGGUAUGCAACAGUGUGUGCCAGAGUUACUUUAAGUUACUUUAAGUUACUGGCAAGGGGAAAAUGUUUAUAACAGAGGGUUGAAAAAGUACUGAGUUCCAGAUCUGUCAUAAAGGAAUGUAAAAUGUAAUUAACCUAAAAUAACCUUUAAAAAAUUCUUGAGCCCUGUAAAUUAAGUGAGCUGUGGAGAUAACUUAAUGAGAGAUUUUAAUUUUGUAUCUUAAAUAAUAUCCUAUUAAAAUCCCCCAAUUUUGCUUUGUAAUGGAAUCCGCUGAGACUCGCUGGUUCUCACAAUGACCUCGUGAUUGAGUAACAUUGUUAAUAUAGUUGGUGCCUGUUGGAGGGGUAAGGUCUGGGUUAAUGGCAGCAUUUGUUCUUCAGCUGCUUGAAGCCACAGAGCCCCAGUUGAAGAUAUGAAUGUUUGAACUUCAUUAUUUUAAUGUGCUAAUGUGGUACAGCAGCAGUAAAAAGUAGUCAGAUGAUGAACUCUUGUUGCAGAGUUGCACAGUUUGUCCAUGAAAAUAAAUCAUUGUGUGAAGCUUGAAAUUUAAAUUCUCUGCCUUGGAUUUUAAAUAAAAUGUGCAACUUCAAGCCUAAGGUGGGUUCAGCUCAAAAGUAGAGGUAUUUGGGUCCCUGUAACAAAGAGCAGUGCUGGAGGAUUUGUUUGCGCAGAUCUGGUUGUAGCACACACCAAAGGUUCCACAUUGCCUUUUAGAAGAGGCAUCAUAACCUGUUUGUUACAGAUAGCUAACUGUGGAGGUGCUUCUGGACAAUUUGCAUCUUGGCUCUUCCAAAUAUUGAUAAUAGAACUAAUUUACGUGAGGAGCAUUGUUAAGGAAAGUGUAUGGUGUGUUUAGUGUUGUGUCAAGAAUCCAAAGGUUGAAGACAAAGGUCAGGCAUUCUGCUCUCAUUUCAUCAGUGCUGUCGGCCUUGGCGGCCAGUUUGCAGCUCUGCAUACUGUGUGUGUGUGGUGUGAGCUAGAUCCCGUGUAGGGCUCCUGCCAGUGCUGAGGUCCUUUGGUUCUCGUGCUCCUACUGUGUUCUUCUAAAAGCUCUUGGUUUUGUUUUUCCCGUUCCUUCCCCCUAUCUCCAGAGAGCAGGAACAAAACUCCCCACAGUGAAAAUCCGUUCUCUCCAUGCAAGAGUAACUAGAAGAACUGUGAUUUCAAAGUGCUUUGUGCACCAGUUUGCUUCUGCUGUGACCUCCUUAGUGCUUUUUCACUCUAGCUUCUUUGUGCUGUCAUCAACUAAUCUGGAAAUGUCCAGGUAAAAGCUAUAGUGUUGCAUCUGGUAUCACAGUUUUUGCUUAAAAUUUGCAUCUAGCUUUUUUUAUCCCACAGUAACUGGGUCUCAUGCAAUGUCUGUUUCUGUAGUAUCUCCUCGCUGUAAAUGAACAGUGUUCUGAAUCAUGAGCUUUUGACCCAUAAGCUCUUUGAUUCUGCUCAAAUGACAGUUUGCAAUAUAAAAUUACAUAACUGGUUGUUUUAGGGCAAUUUUGUUGUUUUAAUUCACUCAAAAAAUGUGGCUUUCAAAAUCAAGUAAAAAUAGUGUUCUGAGUUGAAAACAUAUCUAAGAUUUCCUUUAGAAGUGAUGUAUCUAAUUAGAACAAAGCAGGCUAAUGAAAUAAAGAAGUUUAGCAAAAUAAACUGAAUGUUCUUAAAAGAAGCAGUUUAUAUGAGUGUGUAUCAGUUCAGGUGCAUCUGAACGGAGAGGAAAAGUACCAUGCCAGCAUUGUCAGAUUAUAUUGAUUAGGCAUCAGCAUCAAUCCUGUUUGAACAGAAAGCUGUUUAAAAUGAUGUACUUUCCAAUGACAUCUUAUUUUCUAGUCGAUGAUUUGUCUGCUGACAUAUUUAUUUUCUUGAUGCAGUUUACAUACUGUGCUGAAGUUGUUGCAGACUGAGAAAUGUUUGACUUACGCCAUAGAAUAGGAGGAAAAUCAGAUCUCAUGGCUGAUGUAAAUGUGUAGAAAUAUCAGGUAACAUUUACAAGCAAAGCAUUGGUCAUUUAAACACCAGCUUCAUUCCAGGAAGACAGUCUAGCAAAUGUAAUAGAAUGUUUCUCUUCUUUUGUGCUAAAGAUUAUCUGGAAAACAGUUACAUUUGGGUUAGUUUUAAAAAGAAAAUGGCAGCAGAACUUUGUGUACAUGAGGCACUGAGAAGAUUGAAGGAUCUUGUUCCAUGUGGGUUAUUGUCAGACAGAUCUGUGUACCAACUUCCCCCAUAAAGUGUCAAGAAUAGAUUAAAACCUACUUAAUUGGAAGGGUAUUUGGGCAUUAAAAUCAGCUCCACAAUGAGGUUGUGGAUUUCUGUAAUCUUUUUGGCUGCUGAGUUCUUCUGGUCGGUCUUACCUAAAAGUGAAACUGCUCUUGUUCCUGGCUUUCUCUUAAAAUUACUACAACUUGUAGUGAAGUAUUGUGGUGCCUGUCUUCUUUAAUUAACCACUGCAUUAAUGAUGCGCACCCUUCUAUCUGCUGUCUGAUUUCCUUAUUAGUCCUACUAUCGACGAGUCUUGUAUGUCAGGCUUUGCUUGUGUUAUAUGGAAUCUCCAUCUGAGAAUGGCUGUAGGCAACCUUAAGUAAUUUUUUUAGCUUUGCUUUUCUUUGCACAUCAGGAAACUUCCCUAGCAGGUUCCUGAGGUUUAAAAGUAGGUGGUUGCAAUUUCACAUUCUGGAGCAUGUAGUGAAAGGUUGGUUAAACUCCAUUUUGUGCUAACUAAAAUGGAUGAAGUUCUAUUAGACUCCAUUACAUCCAAGCUGCAUAAUUGAGCUCACCCUUUUUGUUAGAAGCUGGCAUUUUCUGCUGAAUCCCUUGGUCCAACGUAGUGAGAAGUGUAUAAUAUUAUCCACCAACCACAGGUACAACUAAUUUGUUUGCUAUGUUUUUCAGAUAAUUACUUUAAUCAUAUAAAAUGCUUGAAUUCUGACCUAAUUCUGGCUGUCUCGUUUACAGCUAGUUCUUGUGUUCUGGCAUUUUGUCUUCAGAAAGAAAAAAAAAUAUGUGAGGAAGGCUAAGCAUGUUGGGAUUGUGGCUGAGUGCUGCUGCAUGUUUAGGGAGCCCUCUGACCUCAGCUGGAUCCAAUUAAGUAGCAGUAACCUGGGGUCUGUGUUACCCACUGGGGACCAGGGGAAGUGAUGCUGACUGCAGUGUGUUGAGGAGGCUCAGCCUCUGUAGAAUGAAAUUAGUGGCAGUUUUCAGUUACUUAUACGUAGACUUUGAGACACUGGCAACAUUGCUUUCAGUCUUAGCUGUGCUUAGUUAUAGCUCAAAAUGUAAGUCAAAAAUCCAGCUUUUAGUAGCAGCUAAAAUAUAUGCAGGAAGAGCUUAUAAGCAAAUUAAAAACACACACAAAAAAAGACCACACUGAAGUUUCAUUCAAAUUCGAGUAAGCAACCUGGUUUAGGAUGAAAAAGCAUUGUUGGGGAGCAAGGAACCUCAGCAGAGACCUGCAUCUCUACAGCCCCCAGGGAACCUAGUUAAGGAUCUCCUGUUAGAGACACAGAAAUGCUGAGUUCCUCCUUCCCACCUGCAAAUGAGAGUUAAGAAUGGUUAAAGGGAACGUGGUUACAAACAGGAUAAAGGAGGUUGACACAGCUUUAAAAACAAUUCAGGAGUGAAAUGUGAACUACUAAUUGUGCUGUGUAACCUAUUGUUUAACAUAAUUUCAGUAGACAAGAACCGAAAACUGGCAAAGGCAGUACUGGUAUUUCAAAAAGCAGAAAAGGAGAUCCAGAAGAGAUCUGUGGAAUUGGCCAUGAGGCUGUUCUCUUUGUGCUGCAGUUGCCUGACUCCCAGUUCUUAGCAGUGUAACCACUGGGUUGUGGUAAACAAAAUGUGAAUAGAGCAGCCUUACAGUCAUUCACAUAGCCCUGACAGUGCUGAUCUCACAGUUUAUAUUUUGCUCUUACAGUAGGUUUGUCAUCAGUGGUUUUAUAUUUAUUUCUAGGUCAUCAGUUAAAAUGCUGAAUAAUCUUAUAUGCAUGACUGUUCUCUUGACACAAAAUGGUCCUAUUCAGUAGUGAUUCAUCUUCUGACAGCUACUUUUUAAAAUCCGAUGGAAUGACUGGUUCUUAAUCAGACAGUUUUGCUGUUUCACAGAGAUUUUUUUUUAAUGGAGUUAGCGUCAGCAGAGGCAGUAUUUUAACACACACAGACACCAUCCAAAAGCACCUGAGAACUCUUCUCAGAAAUUGCAGUGAUUUAUUUGGAACCUUAUUUUCCAUAACAACCUCAACAACUGGCGUUACUUCUACUUUUGUGCUUUAAUUGGAAAUGUUGAUACGAGAUUAAAAUAAUUAUUUUGCCUGGGAUUGACAUUGUAUGGGCAUUGCUGAAACCUCCUGGAUAAUCUGCUUUCUGCUUAACUCUUGUUUGGCAGGGCAGGAAUGGGCUUUUUUUAGACAUUUCCCUUGUGCUGCUUGUUGCAGGAGCGUUACAGGUGGUACUAAGAAGGAAAGUGGGCUGCUAGUGUGGGGAAUUCAGGAGUGAGGCUUCUCCAGGUGGCACAAAACAGAGCAGACUUCUACAAUAGACUGAUGCUGAUGUCAGAGAGCUUUGUGGUUUAUUUAGAACCAUGCUGUUGUUGCAUCCUUCCAUCUUAGCUUCUGUUCAGUUGUGUUAUACUUCAUUGACUUCAGAUGGAAACCUUCUUCUUCAGCUUCAUUGCCUCUUUUGGAAAGUGUCUCCCUCGAUUCCAUGUGACUGUGAAGAUUUGCAUUUGAUAUGAGAUCAUUCUGCCAAUAUGGUGUUUUUUUACUUGACGAUGUUGGCAACUCCAGAAGAUUCCUUUCAAUAUUAAGCCUUUUGCCUUAGCAGAUGAUUUUUCGGCAUAUCACUGUGGAUUGCCAUUGGUGAUGGCCUGUUUUCUUCUGUGAAGACCUAAUGUUUUGGUAGAAUUGAAUUCUGUUUUUUGAUUUAUUUUUUUUUCUAUCAUAACUUUGUCCCGUAUCCUGUCAGACUCAGUAUGUUACCAGCUUUCUGAGAAGCUGCUUUUGUUGAUGUAUAUAAAAGACUCCACUUUCACAGAAAGAAUUUCCUCUAGUGAUGAUGCCAAGACUCAGAAGACCAGGCAGUGUUAUGGCUUUGUAUUUGGUUGUAAUCAAACUGUCUCUCACCAUCGUUUUGUCUCGUUAGAGCUGGAACAGCUCUGUGGGUGCACAUGGCACGCUUUGGCAUUGCUUACAAAUUUCCCUGAAGCCAGCGGUGCGCGGGGUCAUGGCUGCAAGAAACAUUGAGCAGUGGAAACCAAAGUUUAAGCAAUUGUUCUUUCUUUCCUGGUAACUUGCAAGCCGCUGGCCGUUUUUAUCCAGGCUUACGGAGGGGAAGAAAUGUCAAAAAUAAUUGCGAUUGCAAUUUCAUAAGAAUUGGAGCAGAGUGGGAGCCACGUCCGUGCAUUCUCUCCGAGUUUUGUGGUUCUGCUUGUUGUGGUUUGGCAGCGCUGGCUGACGCAAAUGUCACAGAGCGCGCGGCCCUGCGGUCAGCUGGGGAUGUGCUGGCCCAGAGCGUGCAGGUGAAGUCGGAGAGCUGACCUUGCAUCUGAAGGGGCAUGGGAGGAAGCAAGGUAACAAAAAACAAAAUGGAGCCUGCAGGAAACCUGGUGUUCUUAAUUCUGCUGCUUGAGAAGCAACUCGUAAGUAUUGAAAGAAUUUUAUAUCCUUCUGUCUCUAAAAACAUUGAUGCUAGUGACCUGACUUUGGGCAGUGUUGGAAGGACAGCUUUGUAAACACUUCUUGUAAUGCUUGCCCACAGUUUGGUAGAGGGAAUGCCGGAAAGCUGAUGCAGCUAAUGGAAGAUCUUUCCAUGUGCCUUUUUUUGCAGCGUUCUGUGGUUGCCCCACCCUGAGCUGCACUGAAAGGUUAGUGCAGGGAAGUGACAAGGGGCUUCCCUGGGCUGUAAAUCCAGAAAGCAGGGAGAAGAGCAACCCUCAGAUUUGGCUAAAGAUUUCAACUCUGAAGCUCAGUGUUGUCUGAGUAAUUUGGCCACAGGUCUGAACUCUCUAAACGGCACGUGCUGUAAAUACGUAACCAAGCACAUCUGUUCUUAUCCAGUGGUUGUUGCUGGACAUGGCAGUGUUAUAACGGCAUGGAAAUGACUGUGUGCAUGAAUUGAAUUUGUAGUAAAACGUAAUUAUAAUUUGCAGGAAAUGUGAUUGAUGUAUUUUUCUGUUUAAUAUGAAAUCCAGACAUUUCAUACUGCUUUUACCUGCUGCUUUUAUGGAAAGAGGUUGCUUUCAUAUGCCUUGCAUUCGAUGGGCAAUCCAUCCAUAUUUUGUAGCUUUUGUAGAACCAGUUUCUGUGUCUGGCUUCACAGUGUCUUUUCUAUGAGAUUCUUGAAACUCCCAGUUUUGUUGUUUCUAUGAACUUUUCAGUAAACGUGAAUAGCUUUUACUGGCAAAAUGGGACAAGAAUUGGUGUUGGGUCCUUGAGCUUUGGUUCUUUCACAUCCUCAUUAAGGGUAUUCAUCGGUGAUGUUAAAGUCCAAGUCUGUAAAGCAUGAGGGCUGUGAUACAAUCUAGUAAAGGAGCCCUGAUGUUGGCUGUGUCAUUGGAGCACUCACUGAACAGGAAUUCCAUUUCCUAAUGCUCAAAUUUGCAGUGAUAACUUCUCCACCAAUCGUGAAAUGUUUCAUUUUAAAAUAGGAACUGUAUUUGAAAUGUAACAUCAGAGCAGCUAGUUUCCAUUUUGUUCUAAUGCCAGUUUAACUCCAGAACGAGAUUGUUUACACAGUGAGUAUAACAUCUUAUGUAAAUAUUAAAGUUUAGUUGAAGAUUCCUUUCCAAAGAUGUUAGCUUUCCAGGGGGCUUCAGCCAAGGAUCUUACUUCUGUCUGGAAGCUUGUGACUCUUCUGCAUAUACCGUCUAUGGUACAGGAUGAGAGCAGUUGGUCUGUAGCUGAGUGAACCAUUUCCUCCACCCUUGUCGACAGCAAAUUUACAUUUGUAUGGCAGAUGAGUGGUGGAUCGAGUGGGGGAGGGGGCAGUUCUGCACAGGAGUCCAAGCCUAAGGAUCUGAAAUCAUGCAAAAGCGUGAUGAUGGUGUAAACCUUGGGGAUUUUAGGCGGGUUUUUUCCUUCAUUUCUUCUUCCUAUAACCAAGCCUCAUAACGGAGUUUAUUGUGGUUCAGAAUGAUUUCCUAUUACCAUUCAUUGUUAAUGCGGGGCUUUGCUCCAAAGGUCUUAGUUUCUCAAAUUGCCUCUUGUAAAUAGGCAGGAAAUCCAGGAGCAAUUCAGACAAGCUGUCAGGCGAGUUUCCUUUGGUUGACUGCCAAGUUUCUUUUUUUUUUUUUUUUUUUUUUUUUAAAGUUACCUCAUCAACCUUCCUUGUUUUGGUAGCCUGUCAGUUUGUCUCAAAGGGAUACGUUUAUAAAUCUCCAGAUAAACAUAGCUUGAUCAAAAGAAAUAAAUAAAAACCCCAGAAUAUUUAAGCUUCAUAUUGGCAGUCAAACCUUUGGCUCAUUUUGGUUGCACAGACAGACAUCGCCAAAGAUUUAAGGGAAAGAUUCCAUUGAAAUUGACAGCUGAUAAUCUUCUGGAAAGUGAUCUUUCACAGCAGGCAGUGUGUGGUGUGAGGAAAUGUUAUGUCUUUAAGGAUUGCCACUACCUGGUGUCUGGUUGUUUUUAGUUUUUACUGACGAAAAAGAAGAGUUUUGAAUCAUGAAAAAUGUGUAUUUUUAAUCUGAAUGUGCUAGAUUAGGAAAUUGUUCUUCCAAAGCUUUCUUGAUGAUAAAAGCCUCCAAUAAAAAGCAUUGUAUAGAUAACCUAAAGUCUAUGCUUAUUGUGAUCUGGUCUUGCUCUUUGUGUGGCAAGUGAUCCAUGAAUGGAUGGUUCUUCUUCAUUGGAUCAUCUUGUGUGCUGUUGACUUCCUCCACACCACAUCUCCACGUUACAGGGUCCAAGUUGUAUUGAGAGGAUUUCUGCAGCAAAUAUUGAAUAUCACGAGUGGCUGAAUGUGUCACUUGGGUGAGCUGUCAAUUGUCACUGGUUUUAGAACUUGGGAGUUACGAGUUCAAGGUGUGCAGCUGUUGAAUUCAUUUAAACUAGGAAGUACGUAAAGCUUUGGUGCACAGCGCAAUGGUCUGAUUGCCAAGAGAGCAUUGACUGGUUUUGCUUUUGUAGUAGUUGCAGGUUUCCUUUCUGAUACAGUGGUACAGACCUCAGAAGAUAGCAGGAUGCAGUGACCUGAAAGGGCUACAAAGUCACGACAAAACAAAUUGCUCUUCAUAUUUUAGUUCUUAAUAAGCUGGGUGAAACAUUUUCCGCAAGUAUUGAGUGGAUGCUACUAAAGUGUGUUGUGUAAAUCUGUAUAGAAGCUUGGAAGUGCACGUGUAUAUACACACGCUAAUAUAGUAGAUACAGAUUCCUCUGUUAAUUAUCUCCCUCCUUUGUAGUUUCUUUGGUGAUUAGAAAAUGUGAGUAAUAGGUUAAUAGCUCCACAGCUUCUCAGUUGUUGUAAGAUUCAUUGUACAUCAGAACGACUUCAUAGCGUCUUCCUGUGGUCAUUGCUUUCAUGUGAAAUUGGUAUGCCUUUAGUUGUCUUUCACUGCUAUUCAAAAACCCUUGGGCUAUAGAAUAAACUGAAAGAACAGUUUCUUUGAUUAUACUGCAGUUAUCAGAGGGAAAACUUUGGUCAUCUUCAGACACAGUUAUUGGAAACUGUUCUAAACUUUCAGAUUGUUCUGUAAGAUGAAGAUCUGUUCAAUGCUUAUGUGAGUUGUCAUAGCUAUCACCCCCAUUUCAGAACUAUUUUUCAAUUCACCCCUUUUCUGCUACCCCUAGUUCCUUUGUGGGGUUUGUCAUUUAGGAUGCAGUUCUCACUAGAUGCCACUUUCACACCUUCCAUGUGAGUAAGAGUGUAGAAUCAUGGAACGGCUCAGAUUGGAGGGCACCUUAAAAAUCAUGCAGGUCCAACCCCCUUUC